UGAGAUCACAACCUGAGCCGAAGGCAGACGCUUAACAACUGAGCCACCCAGGCGCCCCAAAGUAUAUGCUUUGAUAAGUUUUGAUCUAUUGCACUAUAAUGAAUUCCUGGGAUCUUGAGUUGGGGAGAGAAGAGGAAGAAGCAUAUAUGAAUGUGGGAGAACAUCAGAGAAAGGUGUGGACUGUGAGCCCUCCAAAUAGGAGCUGAUAGAGAAGAACCAAGUAUGAUGUCCAGUGUCCUAGACAGUUUCCUGGAGCAAUAAUGAAGACAUUGGAUUCCCAUCAUUGGCAAAUGUUAGCUGGAAUUCUUCUAUAAGAGGAACUUACCCUUCAUCAACAAUUACACUAUGCUGAGGUACGGUUUGCACAGGAAGGGAAGGAGGAAUGUUUAAUUCCUUUGCAAUAUUUCCACCUUUCAAAAUAAUGAGUUUCCCUAGGAUUCUUCAAAGGUAAAACGUGGCAUGUUCUACACAAGUAAAGUCCAAUAGAAAUUUCUGUGGAAAUGAAAAAAUAUUCUGUGUCUACAUUUUCCAGUAAAGUAGCCGUUAGAUACCUUUUGAACACCUGAAACCUGCUGGCCCCAUUGAUCUCCAGAAAGGAAACUACAGAAUAAGAGAGUAUGAAGAUGGGUCUGCAACACAACUGACUGGGAACAGGAGACCUGCAUCCAAAAUAUCAGUUAAAUUCUUGCCUACAGGACCAUCGGUAGUCACUUCCUCUUUGCCGACCUCAGCCCUGACACAGAAAAAGAUUAUAUGUCCCAAUGGAUAGGGACAUGGGCUUUGUGGAGUGUGAUGUAAGCUUGGGCAUGUUUAAUUGCUGGUUUCAUGAUCUUCAUAAAGCAAAUUAUGAGUCUUCAUAUCUAGGAAACCCACAUGUGAUGUAUAUACAUUAUAUAUGCAUGCAUAGAGAAUAUAAUGGGAGGAAAUGAACAAAUGUGACAAUAUCUUUUUUUAG